ensembl:misc_RNA Metazoa_SRP Metazoan signal recognition particle RNA
GCUGGGCACAGUGACGCAUGCCUGUAAUCCAUGCACUUUGGGAGGCUGAGGCGGGUGGAUCACCUGAGGUCAGGAGUUUGAGACCAGCCUGGCCAACAUGGUGAAACCCCGUCUCUA